rnacentral:sRNA from 1 species
GGUUGCGGAGGGUGAUCUCACUGCGACAUCUGUCACCCCAUUGAUUACCAGGGUUAAGUCAACUGAUUUGGUGGCUAGCCGGGUGUCGCCUCCCUCCCUCACCACUCCAUGUGCAUCCCUCCCAAAGCUGCUCGCUCAGUGAAAGAGGAUGACCAUCUCAGAUAGAAAGAGUGCACCAUUCUUUGCUCAAGGGUAUCAGUCUGUAAAGGGGCACAAUAGCGGACAACACUCACCCUCUUUCACAUACACUGUUCUGACACCCCAGGCUUCACUUAGAUCUCCAAUCCUGGCAUACGUGUGUCACUUAAAACUCAGAAAUGCACUAGAACAGCUACAUGAGCUGUCAGAAAAU